rnacentral:lncRNA from 1 species
UUGAUUUGAUUGAUAUGACCAUGACAUGAUAGAUUUGAUGUUUUCAUAAAUAAACAAAUUGUUUUCAUAAUUUAAAAAAGGUCCCUGAUGAGACUCCUGAUGGUAAGUAUUUGAUGACGUAAUUACUCACUUUAACAAUUUUAUGAUGUUACUUAAAUACUAUUUUCCUUACUUAAUAUAUGGAACUCACCUCUUUCCAUGCCGCCCUCAAGAUCAGGAAGAUAGUGAGGAACCCACCGCUGACCUAUC